GAUGAACGCUGGCGGCGUGCCUAAUACAUGCAAGUCGAGCGAACGGACGAGAAGCUUGCUUCUCUGAUGUUAGCGGCGGACGGGUGAGUAACACGUGGAUAACCUACCUAUAAGACUGGGAUAACUUCGGGAAACCGGAGCUAAUACCGGAUAAUAUUUUGAACCGCAUGGUUCAAAAGUGAAAGACGGUCUUGCUGUCACUUAUAGAUGGAUCCGCGCUGCAUUAGCUAGUUGGUAAGGUAACGGCUUACCAAGGCAACGAUGCAUAGCCGACCUGAGAGGGGGAUAGGCCACACGGGAACUUAGACAGGGACCCUGCGCCUACGGGAGGGCGCAGGAGGGAAUCGUACGCAAUGGGCGAAAGCCUGACGGAGCAACGCCGCGUGAGUGAUGAAGGUCUUCGGAGCGGAAAACUCGGUUAUGAGGGAAGAACAUAUGUGUAAGUAACUGUGCACAUCGUGACGGUACCUAAUCAGAAAGCCACGGCUAACUACGUG
rnacentral:rRNA from 1 species